rnacentral:rRNA from 1 species
AAUAAUUUAAAGUCUAAUCUGCCCACUGAUGAAAAUUAAAGGGCUGCAGUAUUUUGACUGUACAAAGGUAGCAUAAUCAUUAGUCUCUUAAUUGGUGACUUGUAUGAAGGAUUGGAUGAGAUAUAAACUGUCUCUAAAAUAUUUAUAAAAUUUAAUUUUUUAAUUAAAAAGUUAAAAUAAAUUUAAAAGACGAGAAGACCCUAUAGAGUUUUAUAAAUUUAAUAAUAAAUAAAUUAUUUAUAAAUAGAAAAUAAAAAUUAUUAAAUUUAUUUUAUUGGGGUGAUAGAAAAAUUAAAUAAACUUUUUUUAAAAUAAGACAUAAAUAAGUGAAAAAAAGAUCCAAAAUUUUUGAUUAAAAGAAAAAAUUACCUUAGGGAUAACAGCGUAAUUUUUUCUUUUAGUUCAUAUAAAAGAAAAAGUUUGCGACCUCGAUGUUGGAUUAAGAUAAAAUUUAAAUGCAAAAGUUUAAAAUUUUGAUCUGUUCGAUCAUUAAAAUCUUACGUGAUCUGAGUUCA